AGGACGAACGCUGGCGGCGUGCUUAAUACAUGCAAGUCGAACGGAAUCGAUUCGGUGGCAACACCGAUGAAAAUUGAGUAGCGAACGGGUGCGUAACACGUGAGCAACCUGCCCCAAAGACUGGGAUAACACCGGGAAACCGGUGCUAAUACCGGAUACCCCACGGAUUCGCAUGGAUCUGUGAGGAAAGGAUUCUGCUUUGGGAGGGGCUCGCGGCCUAUCAGCUUGUUGGUGAGGUAACGGCUCACCAAGGCGACGACGGGUAGCUGGUCUGAGAGGACGAUCAGCCACACUGGGACUGAGACACGGCCCAGACUCCUACGGGAGGCAGCAGUAGGGAAUCUUGCGCAAUGGGCGAAAGCCUGACGCAGCAACGCCGCGUGGGGAUGAAGGCCUUCGGUUGUAACUCCUUUCAGUGGGAACGAAUUGACGGUACCCACAGAGAAGCCCGGCUAACUACGCGCCAGCAGCCGCGGUAA
rnacentral:rRNA from 1 species